rnacentral:rRNA from 1 species
UCUGAUGUGAAAGCCCCCGGCUCAACCGGGGAGGGUCAUUGGAAACUGGGAAACUUGAGUGCAGAAGAGGAGAGUGGAAUUCCACGUGUAGCGGUGAAAUGCGUAGAGAUGUGGAGGAACACCAGUGGCGAAGGCGACUCUCUGGUCUGUAACUGACGCUGAGGCGCGAAAGCGUGGGGAGCGAACAGGAUUAGAUACCCUGGUAGUCCACGCCGUAAACGAUGAGUGCUAAGUGUUAGAGGGUUUCCGCCCUUUAGUGCUGCAGCUAACGCAUUAAGCACUCCGCCUGGGGAGUACGGUCGCAAGACUGAAACUCAAAGGAAUUGACGGGGGCCCGCACAAGCGGUGGAGCAUGUGGUUUAAUUCGAAGCAACGCGAAGAACCUUACCAGGUCUUGACAUCCUUUGCCACUUCUAGAGAUAGAAGGUUCCCCUUCGGGGGACAAAGUGACAGGUGGUGCAUGGUUGUCGUCAGCUCGUGUCGUGAGAUGUUGGGUUAAGUCCCGCAACGAGCGCAACCCUUGAUCUUAGUUGCCAGCAUUCAGUUGGGCACUCUAAGGUGACUGCCGGUGACAAACCGGAGGAAGGUGGGGAUGACGUCAAAUCAUCAUGCCCCUUAUGACCUGGGCUACACACGUGCUACAAUGGAUGGUACAAAGGGCUGCGAGACCGCGAGGUUUAGCCAAUCCCAUAAAACCAUUCUCAGUUCGGAUUGCAGGCUGCAACUCGCCUGCAUGAA